rnacentral:lncRNA from 1 species
CUUGGGAAGAAUUUCUUUAUACGAAAUAUCGAAUGAAACAAGUGUGGACACAGACUAGCGUGGACAGUAUCCAGCAUAUAAGAGAAUUACUCGGUCAAACUCAUAAGACCCAAACAAAUUCGAACUUGAUCUGGAUUUUAUCAUGGACAUUUGCCAACCAGACGAUACCACCAGAUAGACCACCAGAAAGACAGAUAAACAGACAGAUCAGACCACCAGAAAGACAGAUAUACAGACAAAUAGGACCACCACACCGACAAGACCAUCAGACAGACAGACCGACAGGCAAGACCCCCAGACAGUCACACAAACAAGACCACAAGACAGACACGCAAAAAAGACCACCAGACAGACACACAAACAAGACUACCAAACAGGCAUAGACAGACAAGACAAUCAGACAGACAGCAAGCCAGACAAGACAACCAGACAGACAGACAGCCAGACGUGACCACCAGAUAGACAGAAAAGACCACCAGACAGACAGAAAAGACCACCAUACAGACAGACAGACAUACCAGAUAAACAGACAGACAGACAAGAACACCAGAUAAACAGACAGACAGACACAGACACCAGACAGACAGACAUACAAGACAAACUAGACUAGACCACCAAACAGACAGACACACAAGACCACCAGACAGAUAUACAGAGAAGACCACCAGACAGACAAGACAAACAAGACCCCCAGACAGACAGACAAAAAAGACUACAAGACAGACAGACAAACA